UCUGCAGGGGUGUCACCGCUGCCUCCUCACUAUCCACCAGAACUGCGCCUGCAGCCAUGACUCCCGGCCAGCUUGCCUUAUUUAGUGUCUCUGACAAAACUGGCCUUGUGAAAUUUGCAAGAAACCUAACUUCUCCCAGUUUGAGCCUGGUCGCUUCUGGAGGGACUGCAAUAGCUCUCAGGAAUGCUGGUCUGGCAGUCAGAGAUGUCUCUGAGCUGACCGGAUUUCUUGAAAAGUUGGGAGGACAUGUGAAAACUUUACAUCCUGCAGUCCAUGCUGGAAUCCUGGCUCGUAAUAUCCCAGAAGACAAUACUGACAUGGCCAGAUUUUAUUUCAAUUGUAUCAGAGUUGUGGCCUGCAAUCUCUAUCCCUUUGUGAAGACAGUGGCUUCUUCAGAUGUAACUGUUGAGGAGGCUGUUGAGCAAAUUGAUGUAGGUGGAGUAACCUUACUGAGAGUUGCAGCCAAAAAACACGCGCGAAUGACAGCGGUGUGUGAACCAGAGGAUCAUGCCGCAAUGUCUACAGAGACACAGAGCUCUAAGAGUAAAGACACAACCUUGGAGACCAGACACCAGUUAGCCUUGAAGGCAUUCACUCAUAUGGCACAAUAUAAUAACGGGAUUUCAGAUUACUUCAGGAAAUAAUACAGUAAAGGAAUAUCUCAAAUGCCUCUGAGGUAUGAAAUGAAGCCCCAUCAAACUCCCACCCAGCUGUACACACUGAAGCCCAGGCUUCCCAUCACAGUUCUAAAUGGAGGCCCUGGAUUUAUAAACUUGCGUGAUGCUUUGAAUGCCUGGCAGCUGGUGAAGGAACUCAAAGAGGCACUAGGCAUCCCAGCCUCUGCCUCUUUCAAACAUGUUAGCCCAGCAGGUGCUGCUAUUGGAAUUCCACUCUGUGAAGAUGAGGCCAAAGUCUGCAUAGUCUACGAUCUCUAUAAAACCCUUAUACCCAAACCAACUGCAAGAGCAGGAGGGGCUGAUAGGAAGUCUUCAUUUGAUAAUUUUAUUGCAUUAUCUAAUGUUUGUGAAGUACCAACUGUGAAAAUUAUCUCCAGAGAAGUAUCUGAUGGUAUUAUCAUCCCAGGAUAUGAAGACGAAGCCUUGAAAAUACUUUCCAAAAAGAAAAAUGGGAACAACUGUGUUCUUCAGCUAGAUUGGUCUUACAAACCAGAUGAAAAUGAAAUUUAAACUCUCUUUGGUCUUCGUUUAAGCCAGAAGAGAAAUAAUGGUGUCACUGAUAGGUCAUUAUUUAGCAAUGUUGUUACCAAGAAUAAAGAUUUGUCGGAGUCUGCCCUCCGAGACCUCACUGUAGACCUCAUUGCUGUCAAGUAUACGCAAUCUAACUCCAUGUGUUAUGCCAAGAACGGGCAGGUUAUUGGCAUUGGAGCAGAUACACUGCACAUGCCUUGCAGGGGAUAAGACAAAUUUGGGUGGCUUAGUCACCUUCCAUGAAUGCGUUCAAUGAAGUUUAAAGGAGGCAUGAAGAGAGCAGAAAUCUCCAAUGCCAUCCAUCAGUAUGUGACUGGAACCAUCAAUGAGGAUGAAGAUUUAAUAAAGUGGAAGGCGCUGUUUGAGGAAGUCCCUGAAUUAUUAACAGAGACAGAGAAGCAAACGAAGUGAAGUUUCUGUCAGCUCUGAUGCCUCCUUUCCUUUUAGGGAUAAUGUAGACAGAUAAUGUAAGAGGAGUGGCAUGGCACACACUGCAGCUACUUCCAGGUCUGCUGCUAACAAAGUUGUGAUUGAGGCCUGCAAUGAACUGGGAAUCAUCCUCACUCAUACAAAUCUCCAGCUCUUUCACCACUGA